UGUUUUGGGGUUUGUGUUUUGUGUUAUUUGGAUGUGAGGGGCUUUUAGGAAUGAGGAAUUGUAGAUUUGUGAAUGAAGAGUUGGGCUGUGGAGCAAGUAAAAGUGCGGGAAUCAACAUGGUGUUGUAUUAUGAUUGAUUGAUAACCUUGUCCCUAAGUAUGUGGUGAGAGGCCUGAUCCCGAGGAUUUUGUAUUUAGAAAAAUAUCUGUUGAGAGAGGUGAACCCUUAAAUGAAUCUUAGUACUUGAGGGAUUAGCCCUGGCUCCGAACGGGAAGAUACCUGAGUGCAACCAAAAAAAGAAAAAGGAAGAGUAAAAGUGUGGGAAGAACAAAAAGAGGAGAAAAAUAGAUUGAGGGCAUCUUGGUUUGUUAGAACUUAACUGCAAGAAUUAUGGAGUAAUUGAUGUUGUUUUGCAUGUACUGGAAGAAAAAGAAGGUAGUGAUUAGAUUUAAUUUUUAAUAGACAUAUGAUUGAUUUCUGAUAUGCUCAAGUUUGAGAUUUCUUUCUUUCUUUUUUUUUUGCUUGAAUUAUGAGUAACCUACAAGCUUGGUCCAAUCAUGCAACUAAUUUUUGGCUCAUCAAUCUUUAAGCUUGACCCUUUUCAGAAACCUUUGCGAAUGAUUAACCUUUUGGUUGCUACUUUUCAUCCAACCUAUUUGAAUGUGACCUAUAUAUGUAUGCAUUGGAGGUUUCCAACUUUUUAAGAUAGAAAUGUAUCUGAAAUCUCUAAAUACAUGAGCUGCAGAAGAGGAAAAAUAUGCUGAAAAAUCUUGUAAUUGUGAAUACCUGACUUUGUGAGAAAAAUAGCAUGGCAGAAUCUGAGUCCAUGAUUUAUCAUCCUGUAUUGAUGGUCUUCUAGUUUGAGGCAGUGGAAGCUGAGGGUUGGGUUUGGAAAAGACUGUCUUUAUUUACUUUUUUAAAAUCUCGAAAUAUUUUACUUCAAUUUCCAGACAUUAGGGCCCCAAGUGUGCCCUUUGACACAAUUAAAUAUGUGGUUCUGUAA
rnacentral:lncRNA from 1 species